UAAUUUUGAACCAACAGACCUCUGCUGGCAUCUGCGAUUGCAUUUUUCCUGUUUUAACAACGGCUGUGCUAGACGAAGUGGUGAAGCCCAAAGACUUAUUUUUGAACUCCCUGUAAGACUGAGAAAUCACGUAGUCCUUCCUGAAACCAUUAAGAGGAAAAAUGUCUGUGACACUGCAUACAGAUGUAGGUGAUAUUAAAAUUGAAGUCUUCUGUGAGAGGACACCCAAAACAUGUGAGAUGGAGUCUCGCUGUGUCCCCCAGGCUGGAGUACAAUGGCGCGAUCUCGGCUCACUGCAACCUCCGCCUCCUGGGUUCAAGCAAUUCUUCUGCCUCAGCCUCCCGAGUAAGUGGGAUUACAGGCGUGCGCCACCAUGCCUGGCUAAUUUUUGUAUUUUUAGUAGAGAGAGGGUUUCACCAUGUUGGCCAGGCUGGUCUCGAACUUCUAACCUCAGGUGAUGCAUGCACCUCAGCCUCCCAAAGUGCUGGGAUUACAAGCAUGAGCCACUGCACCUGGCCCUUUUUUUUUUUUUUCUGAAGAUGGAGUCUUGCUCUGUCACCCAGGCUGGAGUGCAGUGGCAUGAUCUUGGCUCACUGCAACCUUCGCCUCUGGGGUUCAAACGAUUCUCCUGCCUCAGCCUCCCAAGUACCUGGGAUUACAGGCACCCACCACCAUGCCCAGCUAAUUUUUAUAUUUUUUU
rnacentral:sRNA from 1 species